UACGGAGGGUGCAAACGUUGCUCGGAAUCAUUGGGCGUAAAGCGCACGUAGGUGGCCUGUUAAGUCGGGUGUGAAAUCCCUGGGCUCAACCCAGGAAGUGCACUCGAAACUGGCAGGCUUGAGUACUGAAGAGGGUCGCGGAAUUCCCGGUGUAGAGGUGAAAUUCGUAGAUAUCGGGAGGAACACCAGUGGCGAAGGCGGCGACCUGGGCAGAUACUGACACUGAGGUGCGAAAGCGUGAGGAGCAAACAGG
rnacentral:rRNA from 1 species